UGACCUCUGCGAUACUAGUGCAGCGCUCUACCAAUUGAGCUAACAAAUACACAAACAAAGUCAAAAAUCUUAAGAAACGGUUAAAAAAAUUAAAGUUCCAUCGGGAUUAAUUGAUUAUAGAAUCUCCGUUUGCGGCUAACAACACAAAUCAUUGUUUUAUUUUCAUUUCCUCCGCGUCAAGGCAGAGGAGCUCUUAGAUCAAUUCUCAGUAGAUGCUUAUCCGGUAAGGAGUUCGGAGUUUUUUAAAGUCAGGAGUUUUUUAAUCCUCGGAGGCAAAAUCCAAUGUAAGUCGUGUCAGUUACGUUCUAUUUUUUGCUAGCGCUUUUGUUCAAUCUGUAGCUUUUUCAGUUUCCCUUAUUUCAAGAUAUUCCGUAUUUCUUUAUUUUUCACUACAUGUGCUGCAUAAAGGGGUCUCAAAUAAACAAAUAUGAAACCUGUUGCCAGCCUCAGACAUCACAGGUGGUUGACCUGCACUCACCCCUGUCUGCGGCACCGGUAACGCGAUUAACGAGUAAACAAGCUUAAUCGUCUUUAGGAAUUGAAAAUUGUUGAUUUUUCAAACUGUAUCUGCAAGGGUUACGUUAAACCUAAACAUUGGACUAUAUGUUUUUGAAAAAAAUGUUUACGGCGUACUUCCGGUUUGCGUGCUGAGAUCGCGUGACUUAUAUUCAUACGCCCCAAGUAUAGUGAUCAGCGGUAUGCGUCAACACGAUAAAACAUGGUGGUUGUGGAUUCCGAAAGUUUCAAGACAACCUUCCCAAAAUACGUCUCCAUACUUUGCUCCAGAAGAAUCAGAAAAUGUUUUGCUGUCUUUUAAACAGCAUUAUGGUGGGAAAUUCAACUCCCUAGACGAUUCCGAUUUUCUGAAGUUCUUUCAUCUUCUUGUGAUGCAUGGGUAUUCCACCCGAAGUAGUAAAACAAAUUAUCUAGAUCGUUGAGGAUUGAACUGAAAAUCGUGAGACUUAGAGGUCUGAAGUGGCCAGUAACAACUGUUAAAACAAUUUUAGUUUGUUCAUUAGCCAAACUGGCUAGUGGAAAUCGAAAACCACUAACCAAAACUGAAUUUCUGCUAGUCUGUGUCUAGUUGGCCACCGUUAGUGUCGAGCCCUGACAAAGUACUUGUAUACAAACCUAUUAUAAGCGGGGAUUGUUAACUUGCUGUUUCAACAAAUUUUGGGAAUGUGAGUACAAAGAAAUGUGUAGAAAAUAGAAACUGAUCUGCGAAAUCCCAUUUUUAGAGUUAAAGAACUCAGUACAUAAAUCGGUUCGACCAUCAUGUUUUAAGGUUAGAAAUGUGGACAAACUGUUGAAAAAAAUCAGUGUCAAAGAGCCCUCAUUCUCUCUUGGUGUACAAUAGAGUGCACGAUCACAUCAGCGAGCAAUAUUUGCCCUAUUGGACAGUACACAUCUUUGGAUAGGAGAUUUUAGCGCUCAAUUCUUCGUUAUUGAAUGUAGCGUGACCAGCCUCUUCCACACCUGUUUUGUUACGUCACGCGUUCACCCUCUGGUGGGGAACCGCUGCACAACUUCUGAAACACGGAAGGUUUGCAGCAGCAUUCAUUUCAUAAUUUCAUAAACCUUUUCCCGCGAUGCGACCGGAGAAAUUUCAGCACACAAUAUGACAUCAUCCAAAAAAAGAAAAAUUUAAAACAAGUUUGUUCGGUGUAAGAUUAGCACGAGUUAGGUGCAGUUUGAAGCGAUUUGUAGGUUGCUAAUGAAAUAACUGAGUGUUGCUUAAAACUUACUUAUGAAGCAUACCCUGUCAUCCUGCAGGUGAGUAAUUUCUCAAUUUUCAGAACGCAGAACGCACGCUUUGAUUGCGUUAUCAUGUAAUGCAGUGUUCUGUUUACAUUCCUUACAUAGGUUCUCCUUUUUCGCGCGCUUUUUUUACCAUUUGCUUAUUAGCCAAUCAGCAGCAAAUAAAAAGCGUUCAAACGUACUGCAUGCUGGGGAGUUUCAAUAGAACCUUUCGGAAGUAGUUUUCUCUGGAUUUGAACGAACAGUGAUUGGGAAUCCUGUGAAAGGUUAUGCCUCUAUCUCAUGAAGACUGAUCUUUGUAGUCAAAGAGAAGAUUCGAUGCCAGACGGCGUUUGAUUUAGGUUCGAUCUAUAUGAGGUCUUUUAGGUGUUCAAAGAAAAUUUAAGUCGGCUCACCGUAUCACCAUCACAAGAAAUUUUCUACAUCACAGUAAUGGCCUCUGCUAUUUCGAAUGAGGAGUUUGAUAACUCAGGCGAGGCAAGUGAAAUAUAAGUUUCAGUUUCGUAAAUUUCAAUAUGUUUUAUCAGUGUAGUUUCUUAAACCUUCGCACUUCGCACUGUUCUUAGUAUAAAUUUUGAUGUAUUAAAAAGGAAAUUGAUCGAAAACAUUUUUAUUAUGCUUGAGUUUUUACUCAAGUCCUGAUUCUAAAUAUAAGUAGUUCUAUUAAGUACUGCAAAGUGAGUUUUAUGCACGUUGCUGUAAGCAUUUGUGUUGCUUAAAACGGUAAACUCUGAACGUUCACAGGGAUUUGUCACCUUAGUGCUAUGUAAUCGGAGAUGUGUGAUACAAAUGAGAUGGAGGUCUCUUUAUCACGAGUCUUCAUUACUUCAUUAAGUCUAUUCAUAACUGAACCUUCAAAUUUCUUCUGACGCGUUGAAUUUUAAAGGAAAUGAUGGAGAAAGCAAGCGGGGAUUUUAUGAGCUGCUUCUUGUGCGAGAACAAUACUGAGGACAGCUCAGUGUCGUGUAGAAGAGUAACAAGAACUACGCUGAGCAUCAGCUGAGGAACAUAUAUGGUCAUGAAAGGACACAGCAGUUUGGGACUAGACCACAAAGAUGUAUAGUAGUCAUUUAGGGUAAAAGCUUACUGAUUAUUAUAUGGAAAGAAAAAGAAUAAAAGAAAUAUGGCCAGGUUAAAUAUUCAUUUGACAAUUUUAAUGAAAAAAAAAAAAAAGAAAAGAAAAGUAGCUGGGUUCUUGGCUAGUGUAAACAGGCAAAAAAUGCCAAGGUCUGUCCUGAUAGCCACCACUGUUGUUUGUUAUUCAUCCACUCUUUAACUCACCUCCACUGACUCAAGGCAAGAAACAAGCUUGCUACAGUUUGUACACCUCUCUGAGUGCUGACCCUGGUUAUCUUGGCUAACUAGCCAGAAUAGGAGUUACUGGUAUCUGACAAUUAAAAAA